CCUACGGGUGGCAGCAGUGGGGGAUAUUGGACAAUGGGGGAAACCCUGAUCCAGCGACGCAGCGUGAGUGAAGAAGUAUUUCGGUAUGUAAAGCUCUGUCAGCAGGGAAGAAAGAAAUGACGGUACCUGCCCAAGAAGCCCCGGCUAACUACGUGCAAGCAGCCGCGGUAAUACGGAGGGGGCAAGCGUUAUCCGGAUUUACUGGGUGUAAAGGGAGCGUAGACGGCAGCGCAAGUCUGGAGUGAAAGGCCGGGGACCAACCCCGGAACUGCUCUGGAAACUGUGAAGCUGGAGUGCAGGAGAGGUAAGCGGAAUUCCUGGUGUAGCGGUGAAAUGCGUAGAUAUCAGGAGGAACACCGGCGGCGAAGGCGGCUUACUGGACUGUAACUGACGUUGAGGCUCGAAGGCGUGGGGAGCAAACAGGAUUAGAUACCCCAGUAGUC
rnacentral:rRNA from 1 species